rfam:Triticum aestivum genome assembly, contig: Triticum_aestivum_CS42_TGACv1_scaffold_542951_6DS
UUAAACUGUGAUGAUCAAACUAAAUACUUUUGUUCUUCCGAUGCUCUAUCUCAUGGCACUGUGUGGAAGGAAUUUGGAGACCUUAACUGAGUACUU